UGCCCCCCCCCCGGCCCGUCUGACCCCGGGGGGGGGGCGGGGGGGAAGCACGGAGCCCCCCGGGCGUUGUGGGGGGGCUGCGGGGGUCCGGGGGGGCCGCUCCCGGUGCCCCCGGCCCGGCCGCGCUCGGCGGGCGCUGCCCGCACGUGGCCUCCGCGCCCCACGUGCACUGGGGGGGUAGGGCCCGGCGGGCUCCCCCCGGGAGGGGCGGGCGGGGGCAGCUCCGUGCGGACCCCCCCUGGACCGGGCUCUCCCCGGUGCCUCCGGUCUUUUGUUAAGGGAUCGACCCCCCCUCACCCCCCCGGACCCCUCUUACCGGGGGGGGCAGCGGGGCCGGGCCGGGCGCGCUCCCGGGGCUGGGCAGCACCGGGCCGGGCCCUGCCGCCGCUCCCCCCUCCCCGGCCCGGGACCCCCCGGGGUCAGCCCCCCGAUCCCGGUCCCCCCCCUACCCUCCCCCCCAGGCUCGGUUUUAAAGGUUUAUUUUUGCUGCAUCACCCCCGCGGCUCGCUGCCCCCCCCGGGAGCUGCCGGCUGCUGCCCGUGCCCCCGGGACCGGUGGCGCUGGGGGGCUCCGGGGGCACCGUGCCCCCCCCCCGGGCUCCUCGGGGCGCCCUGGGCUCGGGGACAUCGCUCAGGGCUUGGAGCCCUCCCGUUGGCCCCGUUCUGCUGCCCCGAACAUCGGGACCGGGGGGCAGAGCCCCCCCGUGGGACCGGAGCCACUCCCCCAGUGCCGCGGCACGCGGCCUUUAACACCGGCCACCGGUUUGGCACGUGGAGCGGCCCCCCCGGUGGCAGCUCGGCCCCGGUGUUUGUUUUAGCGGAGCCGGGGCAAAAACAUUCCCUGGCUGGCAGCACCACGGGGCUGCGAGGGGCUCGCGGCCCUACACGAGGCACCGGGGAAGGACGGAGCGUGGUUACGGGGUGCUCCGUGCUCACUGCUGCCCGGUUUUGUCCUGGUGCUGUGAGGAGCCCGGCUCUCCGCUCCUCUCCCCCCGGUGUUUGCCUUAACGCUGUCGUUUUUCCCCCCCUGUGUCCUGCCUUCCCCUAA
rnacentral:lncRNA from 1 species